GAUGAACCACUUCGGUGGGGAUUAGUGGCGAACGGGUGAGUAACACGUGGGCAAUCUGCCCUGCACUCUGGGACAAGCCCUGGAAACGGGGUCUAAUACCGGAUACUGAUCAUCUUGGGCAUCCAAGGUGUUCGAAAGCUCCGGCGGUGCAGGAUGAGCCCGCGGCCUAUCAGCUUGUUGGUGAGGUAGUGGCUCACCAAGGCGACGACGGGUAGCCGGCCUGAGAGGGCGACCGGCCACACUGGGACUGAGACACGGCCCAGACUCCUACGGGAGGCAGCAGUGGGGAAUAUUGCACAAUGGGCGAAAGCCUGAUGCAGCGACGCCGCGUGAGGGAUGACGGCCUUCGGGUUGUAAACCUCUUUCAGCAGGGAAGAAGCGAAAGUGACGGUACCUGCAGAAGAAGCGCCGGCUAACUACGU
rnacentral:rRNA from 1 species